UUCCCGACCCAUUUUUUCUCCAUUUUCCAACCCGAUUUGGUGUUGAUCCAACUACUCUUGGGCUUCAAUCGGAAAAGCUUAAUUCCGACUUCCCUUUUCCCUUCUAGCUCUAGAUUUUUCACAUACAUGGCUCUACUCAAUCCAUUUUCUUCCUAUCCCUAGUUCCGGCCUCCCUUUGUCCUACAAUUUUCUAGAUCUGCGAUCGUUUCUUGUUACCACUGUUUGUGGCCAUCUCGGAAGGUGUAUUGAGCUCCAACUCCUGUUUGGUGCUUGGGUGGUCACACCACCACCUUCUAGCUGUAUGCAGCUUGCACUGUUGCUUGUGGGAAGUUUUUUUCACUAGCUUCCUCUACUUGUUUGUUGCAGAUUUGGACUUUGUGGUGCUUGCUGGUGAAGGGUGGAACGUUCUUCUUUUCCAAUUUGGAGCCUUUGUUCUGUUGGAUCUUCGAUGUAUGCAUCUGUGUUGGUUUGUGGUCGGCGACUUUGAUGGUGGCAGAGUUGCUAGGGUUUUUUUGCUUUUUGUUUGUUUACUUUGGGCUCAAUCUUUCGGUUAAGCUCUGUUAUAGUGGUGAUUUGGGGUCCAUUAUUUAGCUUAGUGCUUUCCAUGUAUUUGGACCUCUUUCUGUAUGUUUGUUUUUGUGGUAAUGAAUUUUACCCUUGACCAAAAAAAAAGGGUUAUCUUUG
rnacentral:lncRNA from 1 species